rnacentral:rRNA from 1 species
GAUGAACGCUAGCGGGAGGCCUAACACAUGCAAGCCGAGCGGUAUUUGUUCUUCGGAACAGAGAGAGCGGCGCACGGGUGCGGAACACGUGUGCAACCUGCCUUUAUCUGGGGGAUAGCCUUUCGAAAGGAAGAUUAAUACCCCAUAAUAUAUUGAGUGGCAUCAUUUGAUAUUUAAAACUACGGUGGAUAGAGAUGGGCACUCGCAAGAUUAGAUAGUUGGUGAGGUAACGGCUCACCAAGUCAAUGAUCUUUAGGGGGCAUGAGAGGGUGAUCCCCCACACGGGUACUGAGACACGGACCAGACUCCUACGGGAGGCAGCAGUGAGGAAUAUUGGACAAUGGGUUAGCGCCUGAUCCAGCCAUCCCGCGUGAAGGACGACGGCCCUAUGGGUUGUAAACUUCUUUUGUACAGGGAUAAACCUACUCUCGUGAGAGUAGCUGAAGGUACUAUACGAAUAAGCACCGGCUAACUCCGUG